GUUCCACGCUUAAAUCGAAAACAUAACUGUACAACAAGACUCCCCCCGGAUUGAUGUUAGUAUGGACGGUACCCGAGGAUUCGGCUAGCCGUGGAGUGUGAUUGAUUGGUAGUGGGGGAGUUAAAACUUUACUUUUCUGUUUGGGAACCGCCUAUAGCAUGAGUAGCAUGGAAGAUAUUGAGAACUCUUGGUCAUUGCGUUGACAAUGAAAGCAUGCCACCCAAAAUUAU
rnacentral:lncRNA from 1 species